UGGGGAAUCUUGCGCAAUGCGCGACAGUGUGACGCAGCAACGCCGCGUGGGGGAAGAAGGCCUUCGGGUUGUAAACCUCUUUCAGGAGGGACGAAGCUUCGGCAGCGAAUAGCUGUCCGGAGUGACGGUACUUCCACAAGAAGCCCCGGCUAACUACGUGCCAGCAGCCGCGGUAAUACGUAGGGGGCAAGCGUUGUCCGGAAUCAUUGGGCGUAAAGAGCGCGUAGGCGGCCAGAUAAGUCCGGUGUGAAAGUCACAGGCUCAACCUGUGAAUGCCGCUGGAAACUGUUUGGCUAGAGUCCGGUAGGGGCGAGUGGAAUUCCUGGUGUAGCGGUGAAAUGCGCAGAUAUCAGGAGGAACACCAAUGGCGAAGGCAGCUCGCUGGACGGUACUGACGCUGAGGCGCGAAAGCGUGGGGAGCGAACAGGAUUAGAUACCCUGGUAGUCCACGCCGUAAACGAUGGGUACUAGGUGUAGGAGGUGUCGACUCCUCCG
rnacentral:rRNA from 1 species